AUUGAACGCUGGCGGCAUGCUUUACACAUGCAAGUCGAACGGCAGCGCGGGCUUCGGCCUGGCGGCGAGUGGCGAACGGGUGAGUAAUGCAUCGGAACGUGCCCAGUAGUGGGGGAUAGCCCGGCGAAAGCCGGAUUAAUACCGCAUACGACCUGAGGGUGAAAGCGGGGGACCGAAAGGCCUCGCGCUAUUGGAGCGGCCGAUGUCGGAUUAGCUAGUUGGUGGGGUAAAGGCUUACCAAGGCGACGAUCCGUAGCUGGUCUGAGAGGACGACCAGCCACACUGGGACUGAGACACGGCCCAGACUCCUACGGGAGGCAGCAGUGGGGAAUUUUGGACAAUGGGCGCAAGCCUGAUCCAGCCAUGCCGCGUGCGGGAAGAAGGCCUUCGGGUUGUAAACCGCUUUUGUUCGGGAAGAAAUCCUGUGGGCUAAUACCCCGGGGGGAUGACGGUACCGGAAGAAUAAGCACCGGCUAACUACGUG
rnacentral:rRNA from 1 species